CUGAGUACUUCUUUUGCGUGGCCGAAAAUUUUUUUGAAAAGAAUGCAAUUGGACGUCUAAUUCCUUCUUGGUACUGAACCAGUACUGCACCUGCGGCGACUUUUGAUGCAUCGGAUUCUACGACGAACUUUAGCCUGAAAUCUGGAUUAGUCAAAACUGGUGGUGACAUUUCAAUCCAACUUAAUACUCAAUCCUAAACGGGUUGAAACUGCCUUCACUUCGCGCCAAACAACGGGAUGAAUCCCAAUUGUAUGUGAAGCAGCAAGAUUCCGUUUGCCCGGCGAGACUCAGG